AGAGUUUGAUCCUGGCUCAGGAUGAACGCUAGCGGCAGGCUUAACACAUGCAAGUCGAGGGGCAGCGGGGAGGAAGCUUGCUUUCUCCGCCGGCGACCGGCGCACGGGUGAGUAACACGUAUGCAACCUGCCCCUGUCAGGGGGACAACCCGCCGAAAGGCGGGCUAAACCCGCGUACAUGCCACCGGGGCAUCCCGGAGGCAGGAAAGGCUUCGGCCGGACAGGGAUGGGCAUGCGUGACAUUAGCUUGUUGGCGGGGUAACGGCCCACCAAGGCGACGAUGUCUAGGGGUUCUGAGAGGAAGGUCCCCCACACUGGUACUGAGACACGGACCAGACUCCUACGGGAGGCAGCAGUGAGGAAUAUUGGUCAAUGGGCGAGAGCCUGAACCAGCCAAGUCGCGUGAAGGAUGACGGCCCUACGGGUUGUAAACUUCUUUUGUCAGGGAGCAAUUGGGUCCACGCGUGGGCUUAGCGAGAGUACCUGAAGAAAAAGCAUCGGCUAACUCCGUGCCAGCAGCCGCGGUAAUACGGAGGAUGCGAGCGUUAUCCGGAUUUAUUGGGUUUAAAGGGUGCGUAGGCGGAAUAUCAAGUCAGCGGUAAAAAUUCGGGGCUCAACCCCGUCGUGCCGUUGAAACUGAUGUUCUUGAGUGGGCGAGAAGUAUGCGGAAUGCGUGGUGUAGCGGUGAAAUGCAUAGAUAUCACGCAGAACUCCGAUUGCGAAGGCAGCAUACCGGCGCCCAACUGACGCUGAAGCACGAAAGCGUGGGUAUCGAACAGGAUUAGAUACCCUGGUAGUCCACGCAGUAAACGAUGAAUGCUAAUUGUCCGGAGGGAUUGACCUCUGGGUGAUACAGCGAAAGCGUUAAGCAUUCCACCUGGGGAGUACGCCGGCAACGGUGAAACUCAAAGGAAUUGACGGGGGCCCGCACAAGCGGAGGAACAUGUGGUUUAAUUCGAUGAUACGCGAGGAACCUUACCCGGGCUCAAACGCAGGAGGAAUACAUUUGAAAGGGUGUAGCUCUACGGAGUCUUCUGCGAGGUGCUGCAUGGUUGUCGUCAGCUCGUGCCGUGAGGUGUCGGCUUAAGUGCCAUAACGAGCGCAACCCCUAUCGACAGUUGCCAACAGGUGAAGCUGGGAACUCUGUCGAGACUGCCGGCGCAAGCUGAGAGGAAGGCGGGGAUGACGUCAAAUCAGCACGGCCCUUACGUCCGGGGCGACACACGUGUUACAAUGGCGGCCACAGCGGGAAGCCAGGCGGCGACGCCGAGCGGAACCCGAAAAGCCGUCUCAGUUCGGAUUGGAGUCUGCAACCCGACUCCAUGAAGCUGGAUUCGCUAGUAAUCGCGCAUCAGCCACGGCGCGGUGAAUACGUUCCCGGGCCUUGCACUCACCGCCCGUCAAG
rnacentral:rRNA from 1 species